rnacentral:rRNA from 1 species
GCAAGUCGAGGGGCAGCAUUAUCGCUUGCGAUAGAUGGCGACCGGCGCACGGGUGCGUAACGCGUAUGCAACUUACCCUUUACAGGAGGAUAGCCCGAAGAAAUUCGGAUUAAUACUCCAUAGUACUAUUGGAUUGCAUAAUUUGAUAGUUAAAGAUUUAUCGGUAAAGGAUGGGCAUGCGUGACAUUAGGUAGUUGGUAAGGUAACGGCUUACCAAGCCAUUGAUGUCUAGGGGUCCUGAGAGGGUGAUC